rnacentral:rRNA from 1 species
UACGUAGGGGGCUAGCGUUGUCCGGAAUCAUUGGGCGUAAAGCGCGUGUAGGCGGCCCGGUAAGUCCGCUGUGAAAGUCAAGGGCUCAACCCUUGAAAGCCGGUGGAUACUGUCGGGCUAGAGUGCGGGAGAGGCGAGUGGAAUUCCUGGUGUAGCGGUGAAAUGCGUAGAGAUCAGGAAGAACAUCGGUGGCGAAGGCGCUCUGCUGGACCAUAACUGACACUCAGGGACGAAAGCUAGGGGAGCGAAUGGG